GGCCCGCACAAGCGGUGGAGUAUGUGGUUUAAUUCGAUGCAACGCGAAGAACCUUACCAGGGUUUGACAUCCUGCGAAUCUCUUGGAAACGAGAGAGUGCCUUCGGGAGCGCAGUGACAGGUGGUGCAUGGCUGUCGUCAGCUCGUGUCGUGAGAUGUUGGGUUAAGUCCCGCAACGAGCGCAACCCACGUCUUUAGUUGCCAGCAUUUAGUUGGGCACUCUAGAGAGACCGCCGGUGAUAAACCGGAGAAGGUGUGGAUGACGUCAAGUCAUCAUGCCCCUUACAUCUGGGCUACACACGUACUACAAUGCUACGGACAAAGAGCAGCAAGUUCGCGAGGACAAGCAAAUCUCAUAAACCGUGGCUCAGUUCAGA
rnacentral:rRNA from 1 species